rnacentral:rRNA from 1 species
AUUGAACGCUGGCGGCAGGCCUAACACAUGCAAGUCGAACGAGUGGCGGACGGGUGAGUAAUGUCUGGGAAACUGCCUGAUGGAGGGGGAUAACUACUGGAAACGGUAGCUAAUACCGCAUACCAUCAGAUGUGCCCAGAUGGGAUUAGCUUGUUGGUGGGGUAACGGCUCACCAAGGCGACGAUCCCUAGCUGGUCUGAGAGGAUGACCAGCACCACUGGAACUGAGACCAGGCCCAGACGCCUACGGGAGGCAGCAGUGGGGAAUAUUGCACAAUGGGCGCAAUCCUGAUGCAGCAAUGCCGCGUGUAUGAAGAGGGCCUUCGGGUUGUAAAGUACUUUCAGGGGGGAGGCUUACCCGGCAGAAGAAGCACCGGCUAACUCCGGGCCAGCAGCCGCGUUAAUUC